rnacentral:lncRNA from 1 species
AUGGCCUCAGUACCCUCCGCCGGCUGCCUGCUGGCCAAGAACCAGUACUACCGCACAAGACAGAACUCAGAAUCCAGUGUUUCUUCCAGCUCCUCCUGCUCUUCAGAUCCUGUGAAUGUUGCAGACCAGGACAAAGCAUUUCAUGGGUUACCUGAAUUACUUGAUAAAUGUUGGUGGAUAAAAAGCUUUUUCCAUUGUGAACCAUCUCCACCAACUGUUGGCAGAAAAACACUAUCUGCAAGCAGGAAGAAAAUCUGGAGGAUCACUUGGGUUCCAGACAACAUGAGAAGCAUUUCUUGUCACAGGUGUAGUGAAGGAGGUUGCUGACCAUUUUACAGUAAAGAUUCAG